GACGUAGGGGGCGAGCGUUGUCCGGAUUUAUUGGGCGUAAAGCGUGCGUAGGCGGCUGCGCAAGUCGGUUGUGAAACCCCGGGGCUCAACCCCGGAACUGCAUCCGAUACUGCGUGGCUAGAGUUAGGUAGGGGAGAUCGGAAUUCCUGGUGUAGCGGUGAAAUGCGCAGAUAUCAGGAGGAACACCGGUGGCGAAGGCGGAUCUCUGGGCCUUACCUGACGCUCAGGCACGAAAGCUAGGGGAGCGAACAGG
rnacentral:rRNA from 1 species